UAGAGUUUGAUCCUGGCUCAGGACGAACGCUGGCGGCGUGCCUAAUACAUGCAAGUCGAACGCACUCUCGUUAGAUUGAAGAAGCUUGCUUCUGAUUGAUAACAUUUGAGUGAGUGGCGGACGGGUGAGUAACACGUGGGUAACCUGCCCUAAAGUGGGGGAUAACAUUUGGAAACAGAUGCUAAUACCGCAUAAAACCUAGCACCGCAUGGUGCAAUGGUUGAAAGAUGGUUUCGCCCCCUCAUAAGGAUUGCACCGAGCAAACUUUUCAAUUAGAGCGAAGAGGUGCGUCAGGCUCGCAUACUAGCCCCCGAC
rnacentral:rRNA from 2 species